AAGAACCUAGGGGAAACAAUCCCCCCAAAUCACGUCACAUACACAAGAAAGGGAGAAAAAAAAUCGAGUUUGAGUUUUAUAAUUCCCGGGUUUUGUUUUGGCACGCAAAUACCUUUUUCACGGGUACUUGAUAAGUAUUACACUCCCAUUAAGCCAUCGGCAGAUGUCGAAUGAACAGAAAGCUGAAUUUUUACAAGUUUGUAAAUUGUCUUGAUAAAUUAUUCAAGAAAAAAAUCAGAAGAUGAUAAGUAAUAUUCUUUUACGGAACAGCGGAGGAAAUUUGUUGAUGUAACGGGAAACGCCCACAGCUGUGUCGUCGUCCGGUCGGCCAAGUUCGAUUCUUUCUGGCUAAUUAAAGACGACAAUAAGAUUAUACCAUUAGAUAGCAUAUCAUUGAGGACGACGCCAUUUUGUUUUCGUGACCCGUCCGGGAGCGUAUGCUUUGUACACAGCCCAGAGCUAGCCGCCAACAUCACAGAACCGCGGAGACCGAACCAACGCCGAAAAGAACCGCCUACAACACCAGAAUGAAGAACAACUAAUAAAGACAUCAUGGUGUCGGACAUUUCGACUACUUGCCAAGGUUGUGGCCAGAGAUCCAGUUCCAAAACAAUCUACAGCUUGGCGAUCAUCCCAGAAAAGUUGACUCCGUCCGACUUGUUAAAACGCCUUGAUCACGGAGAAGGUUAGAGGAGUAAGUCCACAUUGUAAACUUGAUUGUGUUAUACUUGCCGUGAAAACUACAACAUCAUAAAGCGUUUUAUUUUUACUGGAAUCGAGCCAUGCGACAAGCUUUUCGGUUCGUUUUACAAAACGGAAUCCGUUCCUCCAUAUCGUAUGUAGCCGUUUACAUUGAUUCCUUGUUAUUUCAUUUAGAGUUAUUGAAUGUCUGUGCCCACGGAAUAUGCCUCUUAUACUCUUAAAAGUGCGUUUUUUCAGUAACUGAGAAAGGCGCAAGUUGCAUAUACUUUUGUACGUUCGUAAGCGACUUAAUUAUGGAAUCGACUGAUACGUUUAUCGACUACUAUAGUUAAUGUUUAUCCGUUGAAAUAAAUCCUCUAAACUUCA